GUAGCGAAAGCGAGUCUGAAUAGGGCGUUUAGUAUUUGGUCGUAGACCCGAAACCAGGUGAUCUACCCUUGGUCAGGUUGAAGUUCAGGUAACACUGAAUGGAGGACCGAACCGACUUACGUUGAAAAGUGAGCGGAUGAACUGAGGGUAGCGGAGAAAUUCCAAUCGAACCUGGAGAUAGCUGGUUCUCUCCGAAAUAGCUUUAGGGCUAGCCUCAAGUGAUGAUUAUUGGAGGUAGAGCACUGUUUGGACGAGGGGCCCCUCUCGGGUUACCGAAUUCAGACAAACUCCGAAUGCCAAUUAAUUUAACUUGGGAGUCAGAACAUGGGUGAUAAGGUCCGUGUUCGAAAGGGAAACAGCCCAGACCACCAGCUAAGGUCCCAAAAUAUAUGUUAAGUGGAAAAGGAUGUGGCGUUGCCCAGACAACUAGGAUGUUGGCUUAGAAGCAGCCAUCAUUUAAAGAGUGCGUAAUAGCUCACUAGUCGAGUGACACUGCGCCGAAAAUGUACCGGGGCUAAACAUAUUACCGAAGCUGUGGAUUGUCCUUUGGACAAUGGUAGGAGAGCGUUCUAAGGGCGUUGAAGCAUGAUCGUAAGGACAUGUGGAGCGCUUAGAAGUGAGAAUGCCGGUGUGAGUAGCGAAAGACGGGUGAGAAUCCCGUCCACCGAUUGACUAAGGUUUCCAGAGGAAGGCUCGUCCGCUCUGGGUUAGUCGGGUCCUAAGCUGAGGCCGACAGGCGUAGGCGAUGGAUAACAGGUUGAUAUUCCUGUACCACCUAUAAUCGUUUUAAUCGAUGGGGGGACGCAGUAGGAUAGGCGAAGCGUGCGAUUGGAUUGCACGUCUAAGCAGUAAGGCUGAGUAUUAGGCAAAUCCGGUACUCGUUGAGGCUGAGCUGUGAUGGGGAGAAGACAUUGUGUCUUCGAGUCGUUGAUUUCACACUGCCGAGAAAAGCCUCUAGAUAGAAAAUAGGUGCCCGUACCGCAAACCGACACAGGUAGUCAAGAUGAGAAUUCUAAGGUGAGCGAGCGAACUCUCGUUAAGGAACUCGGCAAAAUGACCCCGUAACUUCGGGAGAAGGGGUGCUCUUUAGGGUUAACGCCCAGAAGAGCCGCAGUGAAUAGGCCCAAGCGACUGUUUAUCAAAAACACAGGUCUCUGCUAAACCGUAAGGUGAUGUAUAGGGGCUGACGCCUGCCCGGUGCUGGAAGGUUAAGAGGAGUGGUUAGCUUCUGCGAAGCUACGAAUCGAAGCCCCAGUAAACGGCGGCCGUAACUAUAACGGUCCUAAGGUAGCGAAAUUCCUUGUCGGGUAAGUUCCGACCCGCACGAAAGGCGUAACGAU
rnacentral:rRNA from 1 species